rnacentral:rRNA from 1 species
AACUCGACUGCAUGAAGUUGGAAUCGCUAGUAAUCGCGAAUCAGCAGGUCGCGGUGAAUACGUUCCCGGCCCUUGUACACACCGCCCGUCACGCCAUGGGAGUUGGUAGCAUUCAAAGCGGGUGACCCAACCUUCGGGAGGGAGCUCUCUAAAGUGAAACCGAUAACCGGGGCGAAGUCGUAACAAGGUAGCCGUAGGGGAACCUGCGGCUGGAUCACCUCCUUU